rnacentral:rRNA from 1 species
UACGAAGGGGGCUAGCGUUGCUCGGAAUCACUGGGCGUAAAGGGUGCGUAGGCGGGUCUUUAAGUCAGGGGUGAAAUCCUGGAGCUCAACUCCAGAACUGCCUUUGAUACUGAGGAUCUUGAGUUCGGGGAGAGGUGAGUGGAACUGCGAGUGUAGAGGUGAAAUUCGUAGAUAUUCGCAAGAACACCAGUGGCGAAGGCGGCUCACUGGCCCGAUACUGACGCUGAGGCGCGAAAGCGUGGGGAGCAAACAGG